ensembl:misc_RNA Gm56457 predicted gene, 27899
AGGGGGCAGGGAGGACGUGCUACAGCCAUUUUGGCCAUCUUCAGCUCGGGCGGGGCUGUAUUUGCAAUCUGUAACCUGAGGGGA